rnacentral:rRNA from 1 species
AGUGAACGCUGGCGGUAGGCCUAACACAUGCAAGUCGAACGGCAGCACAGUAAGAGCUUGCUCUUACGGGUGGCGAGUGGCGGACGGGUGAGGAAUACAUCGGAAUCUACUUUUUCGUGGGGGAUAACGUAGGGGAACUUACGCUAAUACCGCAUACGACCUACGGGUGAAAGCAGGGGAUCUUCGGACCUUGCGCGAUUGAAUGAGCCGAUGUUGGAUUAGCUAGUUGGCGGGGUAAAGGCCCACCAAGGCGACGAUCCGUAGCUGGUCUGAGAGGAUGAUCAGCCACACUGGAACUGAGACACGGUCCAGACUCCUACGGGAGGCAGCAGUGGGGAAUAUUGGACAAUGGGCGCAAGCCUGAUCCAGCCAUACCGCGUGGGUGAAGAAGGCCUUCGGGUUGUAAAGCCCUUUUGUUGGGAAAGAAAAGCAGCAGGUUAAUACCCCGCUGUUCUGACGGUACCCAAAGAAUAAGCACCGGCUAACUUCGUG